rnacentral:tRNA from 2 species
GCGAGCGUAGCCAAGCGGUUAAGGCAGAGGUUUGUGGUACCUCCACUGGUGGGUUCGACUCCCAUCGUUCGCCC